GCUAAGUCUUUCUUUUUCUUACAUAAAUCAGUAAAGUUGAGUCACUCUAUUCACUCACUUUUUCAAUCAUUAGUCUCAAAUUCUGAGUUAAUAUGUCUGCCGGACGCCAUAAAUCUGAUGAAGACCCUAAGGUUAUCAAACUUAAGGUUAUGAUUGACAAGAACAAAAACCGAGUAAUCUUUGCAGAGUCGGACCAUGAAUUCAUUGACACACUCUUCUCAUUCUUGACACUCCCAUUAGGUACUGUUCUAAGACUUCUUGAAAAAGAUAUGGUUCAAUUGGGAUCAAUUAGCCGCGUUUAUGCCAGUGUUUAUUCGCUUGAGCCAAGGUUCUUGCGUACAAGCUAUUGCAAAUCUAUGUUGAUCAUGCCACGGAAUGCAUCAGAAGUUCAGUGUGAAAAGUUGAAGCUCAAUAUUGAUCAUUCGGAGAAUGCAGGGAAGUUGUUUGUCUGUUCUAAUAUCUGUUCUAACUAUCACUGUGAAAACUUUCUCAGUAUCUGGCAGAAUACACAGUGCUGCCUCUGUAAUAGUUUGAUGCGAACUCCGAGAGGAAUUUCUGACAAGGAAGAGAAGAGAAGUUGUGGGGGAGACAGCGUGGUUGAAGUCUUUCUAAAGGCUGGGGCAGCAAGCUUUAUGAUAACAGAUGAUUUGCAGGUAAUUCCAGCCUCAACUGCUAGUUUAACUGCUUUGUUUGGAAAGCUCGGAGUCAGUGACAAGAAUGAAAUCGAGGCAAAGACUGUAGAAGUUAGUAUUAAGGAGGUGUUGCAACUGCUGAAGUUCUCAUUGCUAUCCAAGACGCCUUUGACAAAUAUGAUACUGAAUAGCCAGGGAAAUUGGGUGAAAGAUAUAUCGAAGUUCGAAGAUAACCAAACAGCAAAGUUAGACAAGAAGGGCGCCAUGUCUCAAAACUUAAAUAGUAUGAGCCUGAAGCUUAUAGUCAGCAAAAGUAAGAAGAAGGUUUUGUAUGCGGAAGCCGGCGUCAAGCUUGUAGACUUCCUUUUCAGUUUCCUUGCAUUCCCGUUAGGUGCUGUAGUAAAGCAUCUAGGUGGCAACUCAAGACUUGGAUGUAUAGAUAAUUUGUAUAAGGGUGCUUCUGAUUUGAGUUCGGAAAACUAUAUCAAAUCAGAAGAGUGCAAAAAUAUGCUACUCUCUCCGAAAUUGUUUCCACACUCUGGUUUUGACAGUCAUAUUCUCGAGGUGGGAGAGGAGUACCCGAAAUACAGAUACAAUGGCUAUGGGGAUAUAGAAAUAGUAAGGAACACUAAUAAAUCCAAGGGAUCAUCGAUAGGAAAUGAGGAAGAAGCAAGUGAUUUAGCCAUCAUUUUGGAUCCAAAGUCUCCAACAGGGGAAACUAUAAAGGGUGAAGGAUACUUGAAAGGACCUGCAACGUUUAUGAUAAUGGAUAAUCUUCUAGUGACUCCUUUUUCCCCUACCUCAAUCAUAACUCAGCUUAAUCAAAUGAAGGUGUCAACCAGUGAUGUGGAGGAACGCAUCGUAACUGUUGGGAAGGACGAGGCCCUGAAUUUGCUUAAAGCGUCUUUAAUCUCAAAAACAGUUCUGAAUGAUGUUUUCAACAUAAGGGAACCUUAUCCUAAGGUUAUGCUUAAAGUGUGAAUUUUCAACAUGACGGAGACGUGAUCAUCAUGGUGUGAUUAUAUUAGAUGUUCUUGCCAUAUGCGAGACAGGUUUAAGAGAUCAUCAAUAGGAGCAUUAUUGGGGAUCUAUUCGCAUUCAGCGUAUUGGUGAGUCCUCCCCUACAUUCGGAGGACACCGCUUAUGUUAUUCUUGCGUCGAGUUAGCCCUUUUCAUUUGAUUUGAGGUAGCCAUGAACAUGUCAUUGACACCAAUUAGAUAGUAGUGAUAGAGGCUUCAUAGACUAGAUAGUGAAGGAUCGAUUGAGUAUUUCUUUCCUUAAAUUAUUCUUGUCAAAUUAUUUAUAAUGACAAAUAUUAGAGUUGAUUUGUUGGCCCAUGGCCUUUAUUCUUUGAGUUA